CCAUCGGCUCUCAUCAGAGCCACCGACCAAUCUUCAAAAGGAUAUUU
rfam:Anopheles culicifacies strain species A-37_1 cont1.20913, whole genome shotgun sequence.